GACGAACGCUGGCGGCGUGCCUAAUACAUGCAAGUUGAGCGAUGAAGAUUGGUGCUUGCCCCAAUUUGAAGAGCAGCGAACGGGUGAGUAACGCGUGGGGAAUCUGCCUUUGAGCGGGGGACAACAUUUGGAAACGAAUGCUAAUACCGCAUAAUAACUUUAAACAUAAGUUUUAAGUUUGAAAGAUGCAAUUGCAUCACUCAAAGAUGAUCCCGCGUUGUAUUAGCUAGUUGGUGAGGUAAAGGCUCACCAAGGCGAUGAUACAUAGCCGACCUGAGAGGGUGAUCGGCCACAUUGGGACUGAGACACGGCCCAAACCCCUACGGGAGGCAGCAGUAGGGAAUCUUCGGCAAUGGACGAAAGUCUGACCGAGCAACGCCGCGUGAGGGAAGAAGGGUGUCGGAUCGUAAAACUCUGUUGGUAGAGAAGAACGUUGGUGAGAGUGGAAAGCUCAUCAAGUGACGGUAACUACCCAGAAAGGGACGGCUAACUACGUG
rnacentral:rRNA from 1 species